AUUGAACGCUGGCGGCAGGCCUAACACAUGCAAGUCGAGCGGAGCGGCGGACGGGUGAGUAAUGCUUAGGACUCUGCCUGUUCCUGGGGGAUAACGUCCGGCAACGGGCGCUAAUACCACAUCCUAUCAGAUGAGCCUAGGUCCGAUUAGCUAGUUGGUGGGGUAAAGGCCUACCAAGGCGACGAUCCUUAACUGGUCUGAGAGGAUGAUCAGACACACUGGAACUGAAACACGGUCCAGACUCCAGCGGGAGGCAGCAGAGGGGAAUAUUGGACAAUGGGCGAAAGCCUGAUGCAGCCAUGCCGCGUGUGUGAAGAAGGUCGUAGGAUUGUAAAGCACUUUAAGAUGGGAGGCGUUACCAACAGAAUAAGCACCGGCUAACUCCGUGCCAGCCGCCGCGGUAAUAC
rnacentral:rRNA from 1 species